UCUCCGUUGGUGAACCAGCGGAGGGAUCAUUACUGAGUCUAACAAACUCCCAAACCCCUGUGAACAUACCUACUGUUGCUUCGGCGGGACCGCCCCGGGCGCCUUCGCGGUGCCCCGGAACCAGGCGCCUUCGCGGUGCCCCGGAACCAGGCGCCCGCCGGGGACAUCAAACUCUUGAUUGUUAUAGUGGCAUUCUCUGAGUAAAACAUACAAAUAAGUCAAAACUUUCAACAACGGAUCUCUUGGCUCUG
rnacentral:misc_RNA from 1 species